rnacentral:rRNA from 1 species
AUUGAACGCUGGCGGCAGGCCUAACACAUGCAAGUCGAACGAGUGGCGGACGGGUGAGUAAUGUCUGGGAAACUGCCUGAUGGAGGGGGAUAACUACUGGAAACGGUAGCUAAUACCGCAUACCAUCAGAUGUGCCCAGAUGGGAUUAGCUAGUUGGUGGGGUAAAGGCCUACCAAGGCGACGAUCCGUAACUGGUCUGAGAGGAUGAUCAGCCACACUGGAACUGAGCCACGGUCCAGACCCCUACGCGAGGAAGCAGUGGGGAAUAUUGCACAAUGGGCGCAAGCCUGAUGCAGCCAUGCCGCGUGUAUGAAGAAGGCCUUCGGGGUGUAAAGUACUUUCAGCGGGGAGGCGGGACACGAAGAAGAAGCACCGGCUAACUCCGUGCCAGCAGCCGCGGUAAUAC